UAUCCACUCUACUCAAGCCCCGCGCCUCCUCCAUACGCGGCCGCCGCCCCGCUCCUCCUCCUGGCCACGUGCCCGCCAGCCGCACUCAUCCUCCCGGCUACGCGCUCCGCCGCCUCGCUCCUCCAGCCAACUCCCGACGCCGCGCGCUGCGCCAAGCACACCCACCUCGUCUGCGGCUACAAGGGUGUGAAAUGCGACCCAUGGCAGCUUCUUCUCCCAAAUCCACCGCCGCGUUCAUCGAUUCCGUGGCGGAGCUACCGGAGAUUACUAGAUUUUGGGAGGCGUGGGGAGAAGAGGGAGGAGAAAUACCACUCUGCGGAGAGAGAGGGGCCAGAGCGCCAUCCGCGCGCGGUGACCACCAGGCGUAGGUAGGAGAGAGGGGGUCUGGCCGGCGUCGCUCCUCCGUGCGCCGCGCUCGUGCAGGAGCGAGGGCUCGAGAAGGUACCCGCGCGUCCGUGCAACACGACCACCUCGCGUGCAGGAGUGGGAGGCGCCAGAUCCGGGCCAACGCCGCCGCGCGAUCCCAAGAGCUCUGACCAACGGAAGCAGCCGCGGGGCCCUUCACUCCGGUCCCAUUUGUCCGUCGCCGAGCUUGGUUUGGGGUGGACAGAAGGGAGGGCGGUCGACGGGCGAACUGGGGAUUGGGGACGAACUGCUACGCCGGCAACUGCUCCAGUUCUCGUACACUGACCGAGGGGGAGCACUAAAUUCUAAAACAAUGUCAAAGCAACGUUUUCGAGGUUUUGUGUACAUGCCAUAGCAAGAAGCUUCAACAACCACUCCUAGUUCUUGUUGCAUGGUGGCCAUCAGAGGAGGCAGAGGCGAGAUGAGCUUUCAUGUGGUUCGAGAUCUGGGAGGAAGAAGGCCAGUGAGAAGCCGAGGCAUGCGAUGGGUUGGUGGGAAGGACAACAUGUGGGACUUUCUGCACGUGAUCGGGGAAGGAGAGUGGUGCUAGUUGGUGCGCGAGAGAUCUUUUCUUUUUGUUGGUUGGUGUGCGGGGGCAUCAGAUGAUAGGACUUCCCUUUUUUGGUUCCUCUUUCUAGACGGGGGAUGAUAUCUUCCUUAAAUGGGGUGUGUGCCAGGGAACUACAGGAAGCACGCGUUUGCUGCCUAGACGCGUCCAUUAUAAAAACGUCUGCAAAUAUUAAACGACAAAUUAAUAACCAAGUAUUUUUGUUCCUUAGUAAA